ensembl:lncRNA
AUGCAUUUUGACUGCUCUCAGUGCGGCUGGCUACGCAAAAAAAGAUUAAUGAACAAUAAAGACCAACCUCCCUGUUCCUCGUGUUUUAUUCUGCAGCUUUCUGGUUCAAGUUUUAGUCUCCAGGUUUCUGGUUCAAGUUUUAUUCUACAGGCUUCUGGUUCCUCGUGUUUUAUUCUCCAGGUUUCUGGUUCCUCGUGUUUUAUUCUCCAGGUUUCUGGUUCCUCGUGUUUUAUUCUCCAGGUCUCUGGUUCAAUCGUGUCCUCUUCUCUCUCCUCUUUCACAAACAUCAUCUUCACAGCAGCAGAUCUCGGUUCAGAUGAUACUCCUCCAGAUAUUCCUGCUUGCUUCAAAGCUCAGUCACGACUGUGAGGUUGGAAAUAUUAUAGGUACUGAACUGAUUCAAAACAAUAUGUUUACUAUUUACAGAAACAACAUUUCUAACCGUUUGUAAUAAAUCAGUAUGAAGACAAAACA